CCAUAUGCUUGUCUCAAAGAUUAAGCCAUGCAGGUCUCAGUACGGCCUCUAGCGAACAGGCGAAACCGCGAAUGGCUCAUUAAAUCAGUUAUGGUUCCUUAGAGCUUACGUUGUCUUACUUGGAUAACCGUGGUAAUUCUAGAGCUAAUACAUGCACUUAUGCUCCGACCCUCGGGAACGAGCGCUUUUAUUAGACCGCAACGACCGCAUCCGCUGAGGCUCUGGGUCUCGGCCCGGGCCUCGGACGUGUUUGCGUGGUGACUCUGGAUAACUCUGCCGAUCGGCCGGCGAUCCCCGAGAGGGGGUCCAGUCCGGCCGACGCACCUUUCAAGUGUCUGCCUUAUCAACUGUCGACGGUAGGUUAAAUGCCUACCGUGGUAGUAACGGGUGACGGGGAAUCAGGGUUCGAUUCCGGAGAGGAAGCCUGAGAAACGGCUACCACAUCCAAGGAAGGCAGCAGGCUCGCAAAUUACCCACUCCCGGCACGGGGAGGUAGUGACGAAAAAUAACGAUGCGGGACUCGGUCGAGACCCCGCCAUCGGAAUGAGUACACUCUAAAUCCUUUAACGAGGAUCCACCGGAGGGCAAGUCUGGUGCCAGCAGCUGCGGUAAUUCCAGCUCCGGUAGCAUAUGCUAAAGUUGCUGCGGUUAAAAAGCUCGUAGUUGGAUCUCAGUCUCGGCCGCUCGGUCUCGCCCGUGUUGGCGGGUCUCGAUGCGGCCGGUCAGAAUGUCGGCCGCCCGGGAUGAUCUUGACCGGUUGUCUCGGAACGGCCGGCGAGUUUACUUUGAAAAAAUCAGAGUGCUCAGAGCGGGCGUUAUCCGCCCGGACGCCCGUGCAUGGAAUAAUGGAAGAGGACCUCGGUUCNANUCUGUUGGUCSACGAACCCNGAGGUAAUGAUUAAGAGGAACGGCCGGGGGCGAUCGUACCGCGACGCUAGAGGUGAAAUUCUUGGACCGUCGCGUGACGCACCACAGCGAAAGCAUUCGUCAAGAACGCUUCCGUUAAUCAAGAACGAAAGUCAGAGGUUCGAAGGCGAUCAGAUACCGCCCUAGUUCUGACCAUAAACGAUGCCGACCAGCGAUCGGGCUGCGCUCGCCACGACGAGGCGCCCGGAAGCUUUCCGGGAAACCAGAGUCUCUGGGUUCCGGGGGAAGUAUGGUUGCAAAGCUGAAACUUAAAGGAAUUGACGGAAGGGCACCACCAGGAAUGGAGCCUGCGGCUUAAUUUGACUCAACACGGGAAAACUCACCCGGCCCGGACACGGGAAGGAUUGACAGACUGAUUGCUCUUUCUUGAUUCUGUGGGUGGUGGUGCAUGGCCGUUCUUAGUUGGUGGAGCGAUUUGUCUGGUUGAUUCCGAUAACGAACGAGACUCUAGCCUGCUAAAUAGCGAGGUUUUGUGAAGCGGGGUCUUUACCGAUUCUCGUAUCGUUUYRGUGCGGCGCCGCGUCACUUCGGUGGUCGCGGUGUUCGUGGCUGGACGUUACGGCGAAGGAGUUAAACUCCGUAAACCUCCGAUAUCUCUUCUUAGAGGGACAAGCGACGCAUUAAAGUCGCGCGAGGAAGAGCGAUAACAGGUCUGUGAUGCCCUUAGAUGUCCGGGGCCGCACGCGCGCUACACUGACGCCCACAGCGUGCGCGCUCGCCCGGUCCGACAGGAUCGGGGAACCCCUUCAACGGACGUCGUGAUGGGGACAGGGGAUUGGAAUUGUUCCCCUCGAACGAGGAAUUCCCAGUAAGCGCGAGUCACUAGCUCGCGUUGAUUACGUCCCUGCCCUUUGUACACACCGCCCGUCGCUACUACCGAUUGAACGGUUCGGUGAGGUCCUCGGACUGGCUUACGCUGGAGGGACCCUGUCUGCUUUUGCUUCACGGCGGGGCAGUUAUUCCCGAUGCGGUAGCCGGAAAGUCGAUCGAACCGUAUCGUUUAGAGGAAGUAAAAGUCGUAACAAGGUUUCC
rnacentral:rRNA from 1 species